UUUUAUUUUAUUUUAAUUUUUUUGGAUCCUUCGACGAGCCUCACGAACAGGACCACUCUUCUUCUUCCCUUGGCGGCCCAAUUUCAAGCCCUCAGCUAUCUGUUUCGUAAUCAGAACAUUGAAAUCUGAGUUCACCCGUGUUUAGCGUGCCGCAAUGAUUAUGUCAGUUCCUAAACUUUCAAGACGAGUUGGUGAUUGGAUUCUCAAAGAGCUCUCAAGAGGAGAAUCUGCACCCAUUAUAAGAGCAGGACAUGUUCAAAGGCCUUACAGCCAAUAUUUGAAACCAAUUUUUGGACGUCAAACAGAAACAAACAUGUUCCAGGGAGCCUUAUUUCAGAAGCAUCAUCAUUUCUCUACCAUUACUGCUGACACUGCAUCUGAGGUAGAGAGUGAAGAGAACAAAAAGAUAUCUGUCACAUUUGUUGACAAGGAGGGAGAGGAAAAGCAGAUUAUGGUCCCCCUUGGAAUGUCCAUGUUAGAAGCUGCUCUUGAAAAUGAUAUGGAACUUGAAGGAGCAUGUGAAGGCUCGCUUGCCUGUUCAACGUGUCACGUGAUUGUUAUGGACACGGAGUACUACAACAAGUUAGAAGACCCUACGGAUGAGGAAAAUGACAUGCUGGAUCUGGCCUUCGGCCUUUCUGAAACGUCUCGUCUUGGUUGUCAAGUGAUUGCAAAACCCGAACUUGAUGGAAUUCGUUUAGCAAUUCCCACUGCGACAAGAAACUUUGCAGUUGAUGUUUAAAGUUCCAAAACCGAACAAGGGUUAUACAAAUGACACUGAAAUUGUUUGCUGAGAGAAAGGACUCAAUCAUCCCAAUUUUGUAGCUCUUAUAUUCUAUUUGAUCAAAGAGAACCGUACCAUUUGGAUGCGGCGUAAAUGGGGCUUUUACACCCUUCAAAUGGGGCACAAUCAAAACUUAUAUUUGUUUUUUUUUGUUUUUUUUAAAUGAUGGUGGAUGUCGACUGACAGAUUUGGGCCAACUCCAAAGUGUAUAAUUUCACCUAUCGAUGAGCCAAUAUAGUUCUUCGUAACUGUACACUUCCAUUUCGAGAUAUUUUCAGGGUCAGCUAUAGCUUGCAACGCCACUAGAAAAUCGCCUGCAAUGACUACUUUCUUGAUUUGUUUGGCCUGCAUAUCUUCUAGACCGAUGUACAUUGUCGUGGUUUCGCCUUGAUUUGGAUUCUGGCUUUCGAUGUGCUUUGUGAUAACAAAAAUUGGAGUACCAUCUUCUGAUCUGCAGAUUGUUGUUGCUGUACUACCUGUAUUUCUUACGGCUACUGCGAAGAAUAGUAUGUAAUGUCCUCUGAGUGUAGCUUUCCAA